CAUUCCUCAUCUGCAACUCAUUCCCUCAUCAGACACUCAUUACUUGUACAUUUCCUUUGUUGGCUGCCAGUUCGUCGUUGUUGCUUCCUUGGACGUUUAUGUUCUAGUCAACUUUAUUCUAUCUGUUCCUGUGGUUUAGACCUUCAGCCUGUUUUUUGAUCUGCCUUUUCCCCUUUUGGAUUUGUUUGCCUGAUUUAAACUGCCUUCUUCACCUGGGAUUUGAACCACCAACCACAUCUUGUCAACCUGAAACCAGCCACCAGCUCAUAAGUUACCAUAGAGACCAAGAUGGGUUCCGACGUUACCAUGGAAACUGUGGGCUGCAGCAGCACCACCAGCAGCAGCAGCAGCAGCAGACUCUCUUUCUCUCUCACACACACAUACACACACAGAUGACACUGAUCAGUAUUGUACCAAGAAUAUCCACAGCACAUAGUCCUAAUUACUGCUCUUCUGUCAGCAUCCAGACAUCUAUUGUGUGUCUGUAUGUGUGCACAAGUAUACCAAUGUGUUUGAUUGUGUAGGUUUGUAUGUGCACGUCUGUUCCAGUGAUCCUUAUCAUAUACUUUCUUACCACUUGCCACCAGUUGAUAGUAUUCAACUUUCAAAACUUUAUGAAACGAAUAUGAAACUUAAAUGUCACUCCGCACAGGCAUUAUGUCUACAACAGCUUCCAUUGCUGUCUACAACAACAUAGAACACAAUUUCAGUCAUAAGAUAGAAGUAUGAUUGGAAGGAGAUGGGUUAAAAAAGCUUUUUUUACACACUUAAGAACAAACAACAUACAGUAAACUGUGCAAAGGUGUGAAUGACUCAACAUGAGCACGGCUUAUAUGUAAUUUUCUCAUCACUGUUUAAUAGAAGUGUUAAUGAAACUUGAA